CCGUAAUCAGGUCUAAUACCGUUCAUCAAAUCCAAACUUCCAACGACAGGUGAUCAGGUGGAGGUAUUACUUCCAACGACAACUCUCUUAGCCCACACCACUUUUUCUCACGCACACGAAGACACGACGCCGCCAUCCUGCUUCUCCCUCACCAACGGCCGACGGCUCCAUUCCAUCUCCUCACUGCCGGCCGGCCAUCUCCAUUACCUCUCCAUGUCCUCUAUUCCCAUCAUCUUCUCACUCAAGCAACUGACGGACCAAGUUCACCCGACGCCAACAACACUACCAUCCUUUGGCCAACUCUCCUCUUCGAGUUAGAAGAGGAGAGGGCAGCCCCUUUCGCACUCCGACAGCCCCAUUCCCUUCGUCGUAACUCCUCUUUGGGUAAGAAGAGGAGGGUCCUUCUUCACCAUCAUCCGAUAACCUUCGCCCCUCUCUUUUUCGGGUUAGAAGAGGAGAGGGCAGCCACUCCGCCAUCCACAACCCUUCAUCGAAAGCUUCCCCUUCUUCUCUUCAAGUUAGAAGAGAAGAAGUCCUUUACUUCAUCCGGGUAGCACUUCCUCCUUCCGACGAUCCCAUAACUCUGGCUUCAUCAAAUCCGACCACAAAUAAUCCAUUCAACGUUUCGGGCAGCAACACAUUUGUAAUGUUAAAAGUAUAUUGUCGUAUAAGGCCACCUUUUGAAGAUGAAGGUCUUUCUAUAAUUGAACUUCUAGAUGAAUUCACAGUUUAAGUAAACACCAAUGAUGAUUCUCUUGUCAAUCCUAAAAAGGAUUAUGAAUUUGAUCGAGUAUAUAUAUGGCCUUCAUGUUGGACAAGGGAAUUCUUUUGCGAUGUUCAACUAUUUGUACAGUCAGCUUUGGAUGGAUAUAAUGUAUCUAUAUUUGCAUUGGCCAAAUCGCCUCUUGGAAGACACAUAAUGAUUUCCUCCUUUCGUUGGAUCCUCUUGAUGUCAUUACUUCUCUCUUUUAGCUAUAUGUAUUGAAUAUGUUAUUGAAGGUUGGAGAAGACUUGUUAUUAAAAAUUGUAUAUAUUUUAGAAAUUGAAGAAGAUUUUGUGCUACAUUGUGGAGAAAAAUGUAAAUGAGAUAUAUUAAUAUUUUGAAAUGUAAUAUGAAUAUUAUAUUUUGUUUUGGU